AGAUGGAGAAACUACAGCCCAGAGAGGGGAGUGAUUUUCCCGUUGUUGCACAUCUCAUUAGUGAAGAUGUUAAAGAAGAGUGUCACAUGGAGGAAGAAGGAAACUGAAUCUCUGUGUCUCCAGAAGGCAGUUCUAGGACCAGUGCAUGGGAAUUUCAGGGAACAGAUAUGGGUUCAUGUUAAGGAAAAUCUUGCUAAGUGAGCUGCUCAAUGCUGCUUUUAAAGAUGAGCAAACUGAGUCUCAGUUGCUAUGUCCAGCAUCACAGUAGGUACUAAGUAAAUGGAGGCACCAAGAUAUCCACUCAGGUUUGACUUCAAGUCCAUGCUAUA
rnacentral:lncRNA from 1 species